GGCUCAGGAUGAACGCUGGCGGCGUGCCUAAUACAUGCAAGUCGAGCGAAUGGAUUAAGAGCUUGCUCUUAUGAAGUUAGCGGCGGACGGGUGAGUAACACGUGGGUAACCUGCCCAUAAGACUGGGAUAACUCCGGGAAACCGGGGCUAAUACCGGAUAACAUUUUGAACCGCAUGGUUCGAAAUUGAAAGGCGGCUUCGGCUGUCACUUAUGGAUGGACCCGCGUCGCAUUAGCUAGUUGGUGAGGUAACGGCUCACCAAGGCAACGAUGCGUAGCCGACCUGAGAGGGUGAUCGGCCACACUGGGACUGAGACACGGCCCAGACUCCUACGGGAGGCAGCAGUAGGGAAUCUUCCGCAAUGGACGAAAGUCUGACGGAGCAACGCCGCGUGAGUGAUGAAGGCUUUCGGGUCGUAAAACUCUGUUGUUAGGGAAGAACAAGUGCUAGUUGAAUAAGCUGGCACCUUGACGGUACCUAACCAGAAAGCCACGGCUAACUACGUGCCAGCAGCCGCGGUAAUACGUAGGUGGCAAGCGUUAUCCGGAAUUAUUGGGCGUAAAGCGCGCGCAGGUGGUUUCUUAAGUCUGAUGUGAAAGCCCACGGCUCAACCGUGGAGGGUCAUUGGAAACUGGGAGACUUGAGUGCAGAAGAGGAAAGUGGAAUUCCAUGUGUAGCGGUGAAAUGCGUAGAGAUAUGGAGGAACACCAGUGGCGAAGGCGACUUUCUGGUCUGUAACUGAC
rnacentral:rRNA from 1 species